AACGAACGCUGGCGGCAGGCUUAACACAUGCAAGUCGAACGCGUGUAGCAAUACACGAGUGGCGCACGGGUGAGUAACGCGUGGAUAUCUGCCUUUUGGUUCGGAAUAACCCCGGGAAACUGGGGCUAAUACCGGAUGGUUCCUUUCGGGAUAAAGAUUUAUCGCCAAAAGAUGAGUCCGCGUCCGAUUAGCUAGUUGGUGAGGUAAUGGCUCACCAAGGCGACGAUCGGUAGCUGGUCGAGAGAGGACGAUCAGCCACACUGGGACUGAGACACGGCCCAGACUCCUACGGGAGG
rnacentral:rRNA from 1 species